rnacentral:rRNA from 1 species
UACCAUCGGAUAAUGCCGGGGACUCUGGAAGAACUGCCUGCGCAAGCAGAGAGGAAGGCGGGGACGACGUCAAGUCAUCAUGGCCCUUACGCCCAGGGCUACACACGUGCUACAAUGGUAGGGACAAGGGCAGCGACAUGGCGACAUGAAGCGAAUCUCAAAAACCCUAUCUCAGUUCGGAUCGCAGUCUGCAACUCGACUGCGUGAAGCUGGAAUCGCUAGUAAUCGCGUAUCAGCAAUGACGCGGUGAAUACGUUCCCGGACCUUGUACACACCGCCCGUCAAGCCAUGGGAGUUGGGUGGGCCUGAAGAGGGUGGCCGUAAAAGGAGCUUUCUAAGGCAAAACCAGCGACUGGGGCU